UACGAAGGGGGCUAGCGUUGUUCGGAUUUACUGGGCGUAAAGCGCACGUAGGCGGAUCGAUCAGUCAGGGGUGAAAUCCCAGAGCUCAACUCUGGAACUGCCUUUGAUACUGUCGAUCUGGAGUAUGGAAGAGGUGAGUGGAAUUCCGAGUGUAGAGGUGAAAUUCGUAGAUAUUGGGAAGAACACCGGUGGCGAAGGCGGCUCACUGGCCCGUAACUGACGCUCAUGCACGACAGCGUGGGGAUCAAACAGG
rnacentral:rRNA from 1 species